rnacentral:rRNA from 1 species
GAUGAACGCUGGCGGCGUGCCUAAUACAUGCAAGUCGAGCGAACGGACGAGAAGCUUGCUUCUCUGAUGUUAGCGGCGGACGGGUGAGUAACACGUGGAUAACCUACCUAUAAGACUGGGAUAACUUCGGUAAACCGGAGCUAAUACCGGAUAAUAUUUUGAACCGCAUGGUUCAAAAGUGAAAGACGGUCUUGCUGUCACUUAUAGAUGGAUCCGCGCUGCAUUAGCUAGUUGGUAAGGUAACGGCUUACCAAGGCAACGAUGCAUAGCCGACCUGAGAGGGUGAUCGGCCACACUGGAACUGAGACACGGUCCAGACUCCUACGGGAGGCAGCAGUAGGGAAUCUUCCGCAAUGGGCGAAAGCCUGACGGAGCAACGCCGCGUGAGUGAUGAAGGUCUUCGGAUCGUAAAACUCUGUUAUUAGGGAAGAACAUAUGUGUAAGUAACUGUGCACAUCUUGACGGUACCUAAUCAGAAAGCCACGGCUAACUACGUG